AGCUUUGCGCAGUGGCAGUAUCGUAGCCAGUGAGGGUUAUAUGAGGCGCGAUUAUUGCUCAUUGAAAACUUUUCCCAAUACCCCGCUGUGACGACUAGAAAUAUACUCGGCAUUGGCAAUUUUUGACAGUCUCUAUGGAGA